rnacentral:misc_RNA from 1 species
GAUGAAGAACGUAGCGAAAUGCGAUAAGUAAUGUGAAUUGCAGAAUUCAGUGAAUCAUCGAAUCUUUGAACGCAUCUUGCGCUCCUUGGUAUUCUGAGGAGCAUGCCUGUUUGAGUGUCAUUAAAUUCUCAACUACACUGACUUUGAAUUGGUGUGGCUUGGAUUUGGGUGGGAAAAUUGUUGUGGGCUUUUUGUAUAGUCUGCUCCCCUGAAAUUGAUUAGCGGUACCUUUGUGGAACUGUCUACAGGUGUGAUAAUUAUCUACAUCCUAGACAUCUGCUGGAAUGCUGCUUUCUAAACCUUACUUGUAUUGACAAUCUUGACCUCAAAUCAGGUAGGACUACCCGCUGAACUUAAGCAUAUCUAAGCGGAGGA